UAUGGCAACCAGUUCUCAGUCAGCCUCAAGGGCUCUGGCAAAAAGCAGGCCAGGGAGAGUCAGCCAGGGUAUGUGAGGUCAACUUCCUUCUGGGGGGGUAAAGUUCAGGAUGAUGCUGAGAAAGAGUCCAGGCCUGAGAGUCUUGAGGCCCAGGGCCAAGCCUACCUCUGCAGGACUCUUCGUUGACCUGGGAGCUCAUCCUGUCUGACACAAGCCAUCCUUCACCUUCCACCUACUCCCAAGUCAGCCCUGCCUUCUCCCACAAAGUCCAGACUCCUAUCCAUCAGCCGUUUGACACUCUACAUGGAAGAUAGCUUUCAGCUACAAUGAACAUUGCUGCUGUGAUUGUGGAUGUACAGACAAUCUUUUCAGGUGUCUGCUUUCCAUUCUCUUGGGUGUGUCCUCAGAAGCUGAAGUGCUGGACUACAUGCUGUUCUAUGGGAUGAAUCAGACAUGGUCUCACCUCUGACCUGGCCCUUCCCUCCGGAUGCUGUCCCCCCAGAUAAUUGUGUGGCUCAGUCCUUCACUUUUUUCCAAGGUAGUGCUCAAAUGUCAACCUAUCAGAGACUCCACUCUAACCACCCAAUUUAGACCUGCAACCUACACCAUAACCACGCACUCAACCCCUCUUGCUCUGCUUUUCCCCAUUGCACUAGUCUCUUUCUCACCUUACCCUCCUACUAUGGACUGCCAGCCCACCAGCCCCAGAUUCAGACUUUGAUAUUCUAACCCUCAGUACCUGAUCAUCUGACUGCAUUUGGGAAUAGGGCCCUUAAAGUAGUGAUUAAGGUAAAAUGAGGUCCUACGGGUGGCCUUCACUCAACACAAAGAGGAGAUCAGGACACAGACACACAGAGGGAAGCCCACAUGAGGACACCAGAAGACAAUGGCCACAUGCUGGCCAAGGAGAGAGGCCUGAGAAGAAGCCAAACCUGCCAAUAUAUUGAUCUUAGACUUCUGACCUCCAGAUAUGUGAGA